rnacentral:SRP_RNA from 1 species
GCUAGGCGCAGUGGCAUAUGCCUGUAGUCCCAGCUACUCGGAAGGCUGCGGUAGGAGGAUCGCUUGAGCCCAGGAGUUCUCAGCUGUAGUGCACUAUGCCGAUCCGGUGUCCACACUUAAGUUCUGCAUCAAUAUGGUGACCUCCUGGGGAGUGGGGGACCACCAGGUUGCCUAAGGAGGGGUGAACCAGCCCAGGUCAGAAAUGGAGCAGGUCAAAACUCCCGUGCUGACCAGUAGUGGGAUCGAGCCUGUGAAUAGCCACUGUACUCCAGCCUGAGCAACAUAGUGAGAUCCUGUCUCU